rnacentral:lncRNA from 1 species
CACAAUCAUGGGAACUUGGCUGAAUAUUGAGUUUACCUACUUCGAACAAUGGGUAACCUUUUUAGGAUCUUGAGGUAUUCAUUAGAAGUUUAAGUUUUACGUAUUUCAGUAGACUUAAAAUUUGUGGUGCUUUAGUAGCUUAUAGGUAUUUACGUGUUUGAGUGUUUGACAAACUGGCAGUGGAGAACACUUCGGUCAUUGUUUGGGACCCUGGGCUUAUACAUAGACUUUGAUGGAAGGGCUCUUAAUUGAAAUGUUGGGGUUCGUUGGCCCAAGUUCCUGCCAUAAGAUAUUCUGGUCCCUGCAGCUGCUGAAGCCCAGUACAUUCUGCAUCUUCCACCGUACACGUACCCAGACACCCUGGUUUGUUAGGCCAUCCAUGAAGGAGUUAAAGUUACUCAUUGGUGAAUUUUUUAUGCUUGGCUAUUCUUGGUAAAUGGUUUUCUCAUGAAAACUGGCGGAAAAGUGGCAUCUGGUUUAGCUGAUGGUGAUCUAUUGUCAUUCUUUACGGUUUUUUUUUUCCAUUAAUUUGUACAAAAUCUGAUUGACUUUUAGCACUUUUGAUUUUAG